ensembl:snoRNA
UGGACCACGUGUUCUAGAAGCUUCACCCAAGUGAGUGAGCAUGACUACAAUGAACUCAUGUCUUGGGCCCUUCUAGACUAUC